UACGGAGGGGGCUAGCGUUGUUCGGAAUUACUGGGCGUAAAGCGCACGUAGGCGGCUUUGUAAGUUAGAGGUGAAAGCCCGGGGCUCAACUCCGGAAUUGCCUUUAAGACUGCAUCGCUCGAAUUGUGGAGAGGUAAGUGGAAUUCCGAGUGUAGAGGUGAAAUUCGUAGAUAUCGGGAGGAACACCGGUGGCGAAGGCGGCGAUCUGGGUAGAUACUGACGCUGAGGUGCGAAAGCGUGGGGAGCAAACAGG
rnacentral:rRNA from 1 species